GAUGAACGCUGGCGGCGUGCCUAAUACAUGCAAGUCGAACGCUGAAGAGCUAGCUUGCUAGCUCGAAGGAGUGGCGAACGGGUGAGUGAUAUAUAAGCAACCUACCCACGAAGGCUGGGAUAAUCUCUGGAAACGGGGACUAAUACCGGGUAGAUAAUCGGAAGGCAUCUUCUGGUUAUUAAAGGUUAAAAACACUGGUGGAUCGGCUUAUAGCGCAUUAGUUGGUAGGUGAGGUAACGGCCCACCAAGACGAUGAUGCGUAGCCGGCCUGGGAGGGUGAACCACCACAUCGGAACCGCGGCACAGCCCACAACGGUACGCAGCGCAGGAGUAGGUAACGCUCUGCGAUGGAGCCUAACCGGACCGCGCCACGCCGGGUGAGAGAAGCCGGGGUUCGUGUUGUAAUGCUAUGAUGUAAGAAAAGAAGUGUAGAUAGCGAAUAACUAAGUGACGGUACCUUAUCAGAAAGCCACGGCUAACUACGUG
rnacentral:rRNA from 1 species